GACGAACGCUGGCGGCGUGCCUAAUACAUGCAAGUAGAACGCUGAAGAGAGGAGCUUCCUCUUCUUGGAUGAGUUGCGAACGGGUGAGUAACGCGUAGGUAACCUGCCUUGUAGCGGGGGAUAACUAUUGGAAACGAUAGCUAAUACCGCAUAACAAUGGAUGACACAUGUCAUUUAUUUGAAAGGGGCAAUUGCUCCACUACAAGAUGGACCUGCGUUGUAUUAGCUAGUAGGUGAGGUAAUGGCUCACCUAGGCGACGAUACAUAGCCGACCUGAGAGGGUGAUCGGCCACACUGGGACUGAGACACGGCCCAGACUCCUACGGGAGGCAGCAGUAGGGAAUCGUCGGCAAUGGGGGCAACCCUGACCGAGCAACGCCGCGUGAGUGAAGAAGGUUUUCGGAUCGUAAAGCUCUGUUGUAAGUCAAGAACGGGUGUGAGAGUGGAAAGUUCACACUGUGACGGUAGCUGACCAGAAAGGGACGGCUAACUACGUG
rnacentral:rRNA from 1 species